UUCAAACCUGCAAUGAGAAAGAAGAAUGCAUAUGGGAUUUCAUAACUCUGUGUUUAGAAGGGAUUUCAUAACUCUUGUUUCUAGAAGCGAUUUCUGUGAAGCCCGCCCUUAGGGUGAAAGCUAAAAUGUUUGUUUUCUGACUGAACACACAGAGAAUCCACUCACCUCUUCAAACAUGUGCAUAUGUCAAAAUAAAGCAAAACAAAACAAUACCAAA